GCCGGCCUGGCGCUGGGGAGGACCUCCGAGCACCACGGUCAGCGGGCAGGCGCGUUCACAGGGCAGCAGGGAAGGUCCUGACACAGCCGGUCCCCCAGGCCCAGCCGUGUGCGCGGCCGUGGUGAUCUGGAGACCGGGGACAGGUCAGGACGGCAAGGCCCUGCUGUGUGCUGCCCAAGGCCUCAGACUGGGUCUUGGAGCCCAUGGCCUAUCCACCCAGCAGCGGAAAAGCCAGGGCAGAGCAAGUCCUGAACUUCCUUUGGGCCUGGCCCCCUAUUUCUUACCGUACCGGGAAGUCUUGCUAUUUUAGACGAAGCCCCGACUCCUGGACAGCAAGCCCCAGGCCACGCAGCUUGGAUGUGUCUGAACCCAGAUUUUCUUCUACCGCUGAUGAAAAACAUACAGAUACCAGGGCCCUGCUCCCGGACUCUGGUUUCACUUUGGGGAGGAGGUCUCAGUUCGGGCGCUGUUUGAACAACUGCCCAGGCGGUCCUAGUGUGCAGGCAGGCUUGAGCCGCACUGAGCUGGAGGCAGCUCUUCCCACCAGGCCGGCCCUCGCAUACCAGGCGCCCCGCCCAGGCCUGGGGCAGCCCGCUGUGGCUGCAGGCCCCGCCCUCUCCCACAGGAUGGGGCAGCGGCCAGGGGCAGGCAGCUCUGCUCCCCAGCACUGGGGCUGGGGGAGACUGGCUAAGGCAGGGGUCUGGGAAAGCCUCUCUGAGAGGUGGUGUUUAGUCUGCUCCCUCAUCCCCAGGAGCUAAAAGAAGCCGGACAUUGACCAGGAAGGACCAUCCACGUAGGGCUGGAGUAGGAUGACCAACUGCCCCGGCUUGCCUGGAACUGUGCUAAAACCAGGGCGGUCCCGGGCAGGCCUGGAUGAGCUGGUGCCACGAGAGCCUGGAGCCACAGGACAGGAGGGAGCGCGGGCAAAUGCCGCCAGGAGCCCGGAGCUGGCAGGGGUUCCCACCUUGCAAAACCCAGUCCUGUCCUCACCUUGGCAGGCAAGGGGGCUUGAAAUUCAGGAGGAAAGGGAGCUUUCCUUGAGUUCUAGAAGAAUAGCUGAUUUCCAGAAGAAUAGCCUAUCCGCGUGACCCACCGUGAACUAACCUCACUUGGCCAGCGCACGGGCGCCCAGUGCUGAGGUUCCACCGAGAGCAUGGCCACAGAGCGCACAGCUGUGACAAGCGACAGGCCUCGCGUCUGGAAGAUGAGACCCUACACUGUGGGAACUCUCCGAGCUUUCUGGUGACAGCUACCACACAGUAAACUCAGUUCGCUGGUUUAUUCAUGAUGCUUGUUUUAUGGUGAAGACCGGGAGGCCCUGAGAGGGGUGGCUGGCCUUGGGUCACAGAGCCAAGCCGCGUCAGGGCCCCCUGGAGGCGUGCCCACAGCACUGCCCAUCCCAGGCCCAGCUUUGCCAGCCUCCUCACUUCUGGCUUCCCGAGGGCUCCUUCUUUCUCCGCCUCCCCUGCACCCCGCCCCCCGCUCCCGCUCCCUGCCCCCC
rnacentral:lncRNA from 1 species